CCCUUAGAUGUUCUGGGCCGCACGCGCGCUACACUGACGCAUUCAACGAGUCUAAAACCUGGUCUGAUAGGGCUGGGUAAUCUUUUGAAUGUGCGUCGUGAUUGGGAUAAAUGAUUGUAAUUCUUCAUUUUCAACGAGGAAUGCCUAGUAAACGCAAGUCAUCAGCUUGCAUUGAUUACGUCCCUGCCCUUUGUACACACCGCCCGUCGCUCCUACCGAUUGAAUGUUCCGGUGAGCUCUUCGGACUGCGCGGUCUGCAGUUUCUGCGUUCCGUGCGGAAAGUUGCGCAAACCUUAACAUUUAGAGGAAGGAGAAGUCGUAACA
rnacentral:rRNA from 1 species